UCAGGAUGAACGCUAGCGGCAGGCUUAACACAUGCAAGUCGAGGGGUAGCAGGGAGCUUGCUCCGCUGACGACCGGCGAACGGGUGCGUAACGCGUAUAGAAUCUACCUCUUACUAAGGGAUAGCCCAGAGAAAUUUGGAUUAAUAUCUUAUAGUAUACAGACCUGGCAUCAGGAUUGUAUUAAAGGUUACGGUAAGAGAUGACUAUGCGUCCUAUUAGCUAGAUGGUGUGGUAACGGCACACCAUGGCUACGAUAGGUAGGGGCCCUGAGAGGGGGAUCCCCCACACUGGUACUGAGACACGGACCAGACUCCUACGGGAGGCAGCAGUGAGGAAUAUUGGACAAUGGAGGCAACUCUGAUCCAGCCAUGCCGCGUGCAGGAAGACUGCCCUAUGGGUUGUAAACUGCUUUUAUACAGGAAGAAACACUCUCACGUGUGAGAGCUUGACGGUACUGUAAGAAUAAGGAUCGGCUAACUCCGUGCCAGCAGCCGCGGUAAUACGGAGGAUCCAAGCGUUAUCCGGAAUCAUUGGGUUUAAAGGGUCCGUAGGUGGAUGAUUAAGUCAGAGGUGAAAUCCUGCAGCUCAACUGUAGAAUUGCCUUUGAUACUGGUUGUCUUGAGUUAUUAUGAAGUAGUUAGAAUAUGUAGUGUAGCGGUGAAAUGCAUAGAUAUUACAUAGAAUACCAAUUGCGAAGGCAGAUUACUAAUAAUAUACUGACACUGAUGGACGAAAGCGUGGGGAGCGAACAGGAUUAGAUACCCUGGUAGUCCACGCCGUAAACGAUGGUCACUAGCUGUUCGGACUUCGGUUUGAGUGGCUAAGCGAAAGUGAUAAGUG
rnacentral:rRNA from 1 species